rnacentral:rRNA from 1 species
AUGUCCAAGCCCGACAAGCUCCAAGAUGACGUUCUCAAUUUUGACUUCACUGCCAUCCCUCUUUGUGGAAUUGAUGAUGCCGAGUCUACUAACAUUCCUUUUCAAGAUGGUGCGAUGAUGAGUACGACUACGGAGCAACUCAAGGACCAAGAUUUGGAGGCGAGCGACAUGGUGACGAGCAAGGAUGAUGCUUCCAUCUUUGUAGGCGAUAGUGAUGACGUGGCAUCUUCGACCUUCAUCCAUGGCAAGAGUGAUGAUGUGCCAUCUUCGGCCUUCAUCCACGGCGGCGACUACAAGAUGGUUGAGCAUGGGAUUUUCCCUUCAAGGCGUAUGAUGAUGAGUUGA